rnacentral:rRNA from 1 species
GCUANNCUGGCGGCGUGCUUACACAUGCAAGUCGAACGGUGAACACGGAGCUUGCUCUGUGGGAUCAGUGGCGAACGGGUGAGUAACACGUGAGCAACCUGCCCCUGACUCUGGGAUAAGCGCUGGAAACGGCGUCUAAUACUGGAUAUGUGACGUGACCGCAUGGUCUGCGUUUGGAAAGAUUUUUCGGUUGGGGAUGGGCUCGCGGCCUAUCAGCUUGUUGGUGAGGUAAUGGCUCACCAAGGCGUCGACGGGUAGCCGGCCUGAGAGGGUGACCGGCCACACUGGGACUGAGACACGGCCCAGACUCCUACGGGAGGCAGCAGUGGGGAAUAUUGCACAAUGGGCGAAAGCCUGAUGCAGCAACGCCGCGUGAGGGAUGACGGCCUUCGGGUUGUAAACCUCUUUUAGCAGGGAAGAAGCGAAAGUGACGGUACCUGCAGAAAAAGCGCCGGCUAACUACGUGCCAGCAGCCGCGGUAAUACGUAGGGCGCAAGCGUUAUCCGGAAUUAUUGGGCGUAAAGAGCUCGUAGGCGGUUUGUCGCGUCUGCUGUGAAAUCCCGAGGCUCAACCUCGGGCCUGCAGUGGGUACGGGCAGACUANAGUGCGGUAGGGGAGAUUGGAAUUCCUGGUGUANCGGUGGAAUGCGCANAUUUCAGGAGGAACACCGAUGGCGAANGCAGAUCUCUGGGCCGUAACUGACNCUNAAGAACGAAAGGGUGGGG